rnacentral:misc_RNA from 1 species
GAUGAAGAACGCAGCGAAAUGUGAUACGUAAUGUGAAUUGCAAAUUCAGUGAAUCAUCGAGUCUUUGAACGCACAUUGCGCCCCCUGGUAUUCCGGGGGGCAUGCCUGUCCGAGCGUCAUUGCUGCCCUCAAGCACGGCUUGUGUGUUGGGCCCCGUCCUCCGAUCCCGGGGGACGGGCCCGAAAGGCAGCGGCGGCACCGCGUCCGGUCCUCGAGCGUAUGGGGCUUUGUCACCCGCUCUGUAGGCCCGGCCGGCGCUUGCCGAUCAACCCAAAUUUUUAUCCAGGUUGACCUCGGAUCAGGUAGGGAUACCCGCUGAACUUAAGCAUAUCAAUAAGCGGAGGA